rnacentral:tRNA from 1 species
CAUUAAGUGACUGAAAGUAAGUAAUGGUCUCUUAAACCAGUAUAUGGUAACUAACACUUACCCUUAAUGA